AUACGUAGGCAGCAAGCGUUGUUCGGAAUUACUGGGCGUAAAGAGUGCGUAGGUGGUUGUAUAAGUUAGAUGUGAAAGCCCCGGGCUUAACCUGGGAAUUGCGUUUAAGACUGUAUGACUAGAGUACUGUAGAGGAUAGUGGAAUUUCCAGUGUAGCGGUGAAAUGCGUAGAUAUUGGAAGGAACACCAGUGGCGAAGGCGACUAUCUGGAUAGAUACUGACACUGAGACACGAAAGCGUGGGGAGC
rnacentral:rRNA from 1 species